rnacentral:rRNA from 1 species
AUGGGUGCAAGAGCAGUGGCGGCGGCUGUCCUCCCGCUUCUCCUUCUGGUUGUCGCUACCAGCGCCCACGGCGGCGCCCAUGGUCGGCGGCCGAUAAGCCGGACGAGCUUCCCCAAGGGCUUCGUCUUUGGGACGGCCACCUCGUCCUAUCAGUAUGAGGGUGGUGCAAUGGAGGGGGGCAGGGGACCAAGCAUCUGGGACAACUUCACUCACCAGCAUCCAGAUAAAAUCGCCGAUAAAAGCAAUGGGGAUGUGGCAGUGGACUCCUAUCAUCUUUACAAGGAAGAUGUGCGCCUCAUGAAGGAUAUGGGAAUGGAUGCAUAUAGGUUCUCCAUCUCAUGGACAAGAAUUUUUCCGGAUGGAACUCUGAAAGGUGGAGUCAACAAAGAAGGCAUCAAGUAUUACAACAACUUGAUCGAUGAGCUACUGUCCAAAGGGGUGCAGCCAUUUGUGACCCUUUUUCACUGGGACUCUCCACAGGGAUUGGAAGAUAAAUAUGGAGGAUUCCUUAGCCCUAAUAUCAUAAAUGACUACAAAGAUUAUGCUGAAGUCUGCUUCAGAGAAUUAGGAGACCGGGUGAAGCACUGGAUCACGUUCAAUGAGCCCUGGUCCUUCUGUGUCACGGGUUAUGAAAGGGGCGUAUUUGCGCCGGGCCGGGAGCCAUACACUGUAGCCCACCAUCAGAUACUCGCUCAUGCGGCUGCCGCUACGUUGUAUAAACAGAAAUAUAAGGCUGUGCAGAAAGGGGAGAUCGGAAUAAGUUUGGUGUCAAACUGGUUCACUCCCUUGUCCCGUUCAAAAUCAAGCGUCAUCGCAACGAGACGCGCCAUAGAAUUCAUGCUUGGAUGGUUUUUGGACCCGCUCGCCAGAGAAGACUACCCUGGGAGCAUGAAAGAAUUGGUCGGAAACCGUCUGCCGCAGUUCACCAAAAAACAGUCUGCAUUGGUGAAGGGUUCAUUCGACUUCAUUGGAAUCAACUACUAUACUACAAAUUACGCGGGUAAGCUUCCUCUAUCAAAUGGCCUGAGGAACAGCUACUCUACCGAUGCUCAAGCUAAUCUGACCGGUGUUAGAAAUGGUGUCCCCAUAGGUCCUCAGGCUGCUUCACCUUGGCUCUAUGUCUACCCUAAAGGGUUCCAUGAUCUUCUACUUUAUCUCAAGGAGAAGUACCGGAAUCCGACCAUCUACAUCACUGAAAACGGGCAAGUACAUUUUCCUCCCCUGGAAAUGGUGAGCAACCAGGUUGAAACUUAUUUGAAAAAGUAUUUGUCUUCUCUCUAUAUUUUAGGCGUCGAUGAAGCCAACAACAAGAGCCUACCACUCGAGGAAGCCCUCAAGGACGAUGCGAGGAUAGAGUACCACCACAUGCACCUUGAUGCCUUGCUGAGUGCGAUCAGGGAUGGGGCGAACGUGAAGGGGUACUUCGCAUGGUCUUUGUUAGACAACUUCGAGUGGGCGAGCGGGUACACGGUGCGCUUCGGUUUACACUUCGUGGACUAUGACCAUGGUCGGAAGCAAUACCCCAAGCGCUCCGCCGGCUGGUUCAAGAGGUUUCUCAACAGAUGA